rnacentral:rRNA from 1 species
UACGGGGGGGGCAAGCGUUGUUCGGAAUUACUGGGCGUAAAGGGCUCGUAGGCGGCCAACUAAGUCAGACGUGAAAUCCCUCGGCUUAACCGGGGAACUGCGUCUGAUACUGGAUGGCUUGAGGUUGGGAGAGGGAUGCGGAAUUCCAGGUGUAGCGGUGAAAUGCGUAGAUAUCUGGAGGAACACCGGUGGCGAAGGCGGCAUCCUGGACCGGCAUUGACGCUGAGGAGCGAAAGCUAGGGGAGCAAACGGG